rnacentral:tmRNA from 6 species
GGGGGUGACAUGGUUUCGACUUGAGUUGUUCCUGUAUAGGUGGCAUGCCGAGGAUGCCUGGUUGGCCUCGUAAAAAAUCUAGGCAACAAACAAAUGCAGAAAAUGACGCAUUAAUUGCGAGUGCUGAAAGCAUUGCUAACAGCGCUCCUCAAACAGUCGCAGUCUAAAUCAGAUUGUGCCCUUUUAUAAGAUAUGCCUGUAGUUUUAUAAAAGGACCUUAACAGGCUAGUGUGGUCUUGGCCAGCAAGACCAAUGCGAAAUUAUAUGGCUGGUCAUGUUAGAUCCUGUUUGCCGGAGCUGAUAUGAUGAGAUCAAAAGACAAUCUACGCAUGUAGAGGCUUAUGCAAUACACUAUAAGGACCGGGGUUCGAUUCCCCGCACCUCCACCA